rnacentral:rRNA from 1 species
GACCGAUAGUGAACCAGUACCGUGAGGGAAAGGCGAAAAGAACCCCGGCGAGGGGAGUGAAAAAGAACCUGAAACCGUGUACGUACAAGCAGUGGGAGCACAGGUUUACCUGUGUGACUGCGUACCUUUUGUAUAAUGGGUCAGCGACUUAUAUUCUGUAGCAAGGUUAACCGUAUAGGGGAGCCGGAGGGAAACCGAGUCUUAACCGGGCGUUAAGUUGCAGGGUAUAGACCCGAAACCCGGUGAUCUAGCCAUGGGCAGGUUGAAGGUUGGGUAACACUAACUGGAGGACCGAACCGACUAAUGUUGAAAAAUUAGCGGAUGACCUGUGGCUGGGGGUGAAAGGCCAAUCAAACCGGGAGAUAGCUGGUUCUCCCCGAAAGCUAUUUAGGUAGCGCCUCGUGAAUUCAUCUCCGGGGGUAGAGCACUGUUUCGGCUAGGGGGCCAUCCCGGCUUACCAACCCGAUGCAAACUGCGAAUACCGGAGAAUGUUAUCACGGGAGACACACGGCGGGUGCUAACGUCCGUCGUGAAGAGGGAAACAACCCAGACCGCCAGCUAAGGUCCCAAAGUCAUGGUUAAGUGGGAAACGAUGUGGGAAGGCCCAGACAGCCAGGAUGUUGGCUUAGAAGCAGCCAUCAUUUAAAGAAAGCGUAAUAGCUCACUGGUCGAGUCGGCCUGCGCGGAAGAUGUAACGGGGCUAAACCAUGCACCGAAGCUGCGGCAGCGACACUGUGUGUUGUUGGGUAGGGGAGCGUUCUGUAAGCCUGUGAAGGUGUGUCGUGAGGCAUGCUGGAGGUAUCAGAAGUGCGAAUGCUGACAUAAGUAACGAUAAAGCGGGUGAAAAGCCCGCUCGCCGGAAGACCAAGGGUUCCUGUCCAACGUUAAUCGGGGCAGGGUGAGUCGACCCCUAAGGCGAGGCCGAAAGGCGUAGUCGAUGGGAAACGGGUUAAUAUUCCCGUACUUGGUGUUACUGCGAAGGGGGGACGGAGAAGGCUAUGUUGGCCGGGCGACGGUUGUCCCGGUUUAAGCGUGUAGGUGUGUGUUCCAGGUAAAUCCGGUUCACUUUAACACUGAGGCGUGACGACGAGGCACUACGGUGCUGAAGCAACAAAUGCCCUGCUUCCAGGAAAAGCCUCUAAGCAUCAGGUAACAUCAAAUCGUACCCCAAACCGACACAGGUGGUCAGGUAGAGAAUACCAAGGCGCUUGAGAGAACUCGGGUGAAGGAACUAGGCAAAAUGGUGCCGUAACUUCGGGAGAAGGCACGCUGACACGUAGGUGAAGUGAUUUACUCAUGGAGCUGAAGUCAGUCGAAGAUACCAGCUGGCUGCAACUGUUUAUUAAAAACACAGCACUGUGCAAACACGAAAGUGGACGUAUACGGUGUGACGCCUGCCCGGUGCCGGAAGGUUAAUUGAUGGGGUCAGCGCAAGCGAAGCUCCUGAUCGAAGCCCCGGUAAACGGCGGCCGUAACUAUAACGGUCCUAAGGUAGCGAAAUUCCUUGUCGGGUAAGUUCCGACCUGCACGAAUGGCGUAAUGAUGGCCAGGCUGUCUCCACCCGAGACUCAGUGAAAUUGAACUCGCUGUGAAGAUGCAGUGUACCCGCGGCAAGACGGAAAGACCCCGUGAACCUUUACUAUAGCUUGACACUGAACAUUGAGCCUUGAUGUGUAGGAUAGGUGGGAGGCUUUGAAGCGUGGACGCCAGUCUGCGUGGAGCCGACCUUGAAAUACCACCCUUUAAUGUUUGAUGUUCUAACGUGGACCCGU